AGUUUGAGUGUUUAAGACUUGAGUUGAUCUCAAUUGUCUUCUCUGUUGAAAUAGUUGUUCUAUUUCUGAAUAGCAGAGCCCUAUCCAAAUUAUCCACAUAAUCAUCCAAUCAUUCAACAUAAUUUAUCAUCAAUAUAAUCCACCGCAUCAUUCAGGAUCAUCUAAUUUUUGCACUCGCCGGUGUCUAUUUAGCAUCAUCACGCAUAGGCAACAGUAAAGAUCAAAAGUCAAGAAUCAGAGUGAAUUACGCUAGUAAAACUUUCAUCAUCUAUUCGUUAACAGACAGUGAAAUCACUCCGGAAGCAAUGAAAUCAAUUGAAACCUUCGAACAACCUUUCGAAAAGUUUUCUCAAUAAUUAGCUGAAUUACAUGCUGAUAUCAAAAAACAACUUUGUAAACAUAUUAUGCAUGCACCAAGACACCAUUGCAGUCACUGUUCAGAAAACACAGAAGAAACACCAUUCAUGGAAAAUUAACGGGAGGAAUAACGUAAGCAAUGACGUAAAAAGCCAUGAUUGAACACAUUAUUGAAGACACCUAAUGACGUAAGCAAUGACGUAAAAAGCCAUUAUUGAAGACACCUGUCUUUUCAAUGUGGAAGGGAUUAUUAUAUUUUUAAUUAUGUAAAGUGUCCGUAGGAUAAUUAUUAAGUAUCGGUUGUAUUAUUUGUGAUGUAACAUAAAGUGUGUGACCCUCAAUAGUCUAGGGGUCUAAAAUGUAAAUAUAUGUUUGUCGUAUUGCAAUCAAAUGAUUGCAACAAUAAUUGUAACCGGCUCUCUUGAGUCUAUAAAUAGGGCAUUUGCCCAUAUGAAAUAAACAAGUUAAGUUUGAGUGUUUAA